GACAGAGGUCCCGAGCGUUAGGCGGAAUCACUGGGCUUAAAGCGUGUGUAGGCGGACUUCUAAGUACCUUGUGAAAUCCCACGGCUCAACCGUGGAACUGCUUGGUAUACUGGUUGUCUUGGGCCAUCUAGGGGCGAGCGGAACAAACGGUGGAGCGGUGAAAUGCGUAGAUAUCGUUUGGAACGCCAAUGGUGAAAACAGCUCGCUGGGGAUGUGCCGACGCUGAGACACGAAAGCGUGGGUAGCAAACAGG
rnacentral:rRNA from 1 species